rnacentral:ncRNA from 2 species
CGCCGCGUUCGUGGUGAUUUGCCGGCCGGCUUGCAGCCACGUAAAACAAGUCGCUAAAGGCCGUUUCGCCUCACCC